CGCGUAGGCGGCUUGGCAAGCUUGGUGUUAAAAACAACGGCUUAACCGUUGGUAAGCACUGGGAACUGCCUGGCUAGAGGUCUGGAGGGGGAGCUGGAAUUCCUGGUGUAGGGGUGAAAUCUGUAGAUAUCAGGAAGAACACCGGUGGCGAAGGCGAGCUCCUGGCCGGAAAUUGACGCUGAGGCGCGAAAGCGUGGGGAGCGAACA
rnacentral:rRNA from 1 species